UCAGGCCUAACACAUGCAAGUCGAACGGCAGCACGGGAGCAAUCCUGGAAAAGAGUGGCGAACGGGUGAGUAAUGUAUCGGAACGUGCCCAGUCGUGGGGGAUAACGUAGCGAAAGUUACGCUAAUACCGCAUACGAUCUAUGGAUGAAAGCGGGGGACCGUAAGGCCUCGCGCGAUUGGAGCGGCCGAUAUCAGAUUAGGUAGUUGGUGGGGUAAAGGCCCACCAAGCCGACGAUCUGUAGCUGGUCUGAGAGGACGACCAGCCACACUGGGAGGGAGAC
rnacentral:rRNA from 1 species